ACUUGUUUUCUUUCUUCUUUUUCGUCCUAUGCCCUCUAGCUAGACCACGCAAGCCAUAAUAACACAUCACAGACUCCAGACGUGCCAAAAUUUCAAAUAUGCAAACUGUGAUGCAUGGCUAUUAACUAAAACUCUUGUUUCACUGUGUGGUUUGCUGUACGCAGCUCAAACCAGAGGAUAGUUAUGCCAAUAUCAUACGUAGCUGAGUCCCUGGUUAAGUUCUUCGAGGAUAUCUGGACUUGCACAUCAGUAGGGGAUUGGGAGGAAACUAAGAGGUUAGAGGAUGAAUGGAGGAGUGGAUGGGAUUAGACAGACUAAUGUCACAUUGCUUAUGAAUUCGGUUGUUUUUAACUAUUACUCAAAUGGGGAGGGCAGUCUGUCCUUGUGUGUCGUAGUAUUUGUCUUAACUUGCCUAGUUAAGAUAAAUGUUUAUUGUGUUACUUAUGCAUAUAGGCUGUACCUGUAAACAUACUGCAUCAUGCAACAGUACUGGAUCUUUGACAACUGUUUGACUUUGCUUGAGUAAGAUGUGCUUAUAAACAAGACAUCUGCCGCUGCUUUGGUGUCUGAAGUUUUAACCCUCUUAUCCUGUCUUCUUUUGCAAUAGAACAUAUGAUACUGCCUUCCAAAAAAAAAAACAUAUGAUACUGGUAUGCCUGAGGUGGUGGUGCCAUAUGCACUCUUUGGCAUCCCAAUGCUUUACUUUGCUGCCUUUUAGCUUCAGAUUUUGCUAAAGGAUAUCUUGUAAUUUGGUACACUUAGGCGUCAGGGCACUCCCAGGUAGCAAAGCGUCGA